UACGGAGGGUGCAAGCGUUAUCCGGAUUCACUGGGUUUAAAGGGUGCGUAGGCGGUUCGUCAAGUCCUGUGUGAAAUCCCCCGGCUCAACUGGGGAACUGCACAGGAAACUAGCGGGCUUGAGUUCGGGAGAGGGAAGCGGAAUUCCCAGUGUAGCGGUGAAAUGCGUAGAUAUUGGGAGGAACACCAGUGGCGAAGGCGGCUACCUGGACCGGUUCUGACGCUGAGGCGCGAAGGCGUGGGGAGCGAACGGG
rnacentral:rRNA from 1 species